rnacentral:rRNA from 1 species
UACGGGGGGGGCAAGCGUUGUUCGGAAUUACUGGGCGUAAAGGGCUCGUAGGCGGCCAACUAAGUCGGACGUGAAAUCCCUCGGCUUAACCGGGGAACUGCGUCCGAUACUGGAUGGCUUGAGUUCGGGAGAGGGAUGCGGAAUUCCAGGUGUAGCGGUGAAAUGCGUAGAUAUCUGGAGGAACACCGGUGGCGAAGGCGGCAUCCUGGACCGAUACUGACACUGAGGAGCGAAAGCCAGGGGAGCAAACGGG